GAACUGGUGCAGUUCUGGUCAAGAUUCUGCUCUACUCCUUGAAGAGUAACGACAUCGUGGUAAAAGGUUCUAAUUGUUUCAUUCAUGGAUACAUCUUUUCUGCAAGAAGAAGGACAAAGAUCAGAAUUCGGAAAACAUGAGAACUGAUCUGGAAAAGAUACACAGAUAAGGGAAACUCAGGACUAAAUGAGAAGUUUGUUUUACCCCAUUGUCAAAUGUGGAAUCACCAGCAAAGGAAGCUCCAUCACAGUAUCUAAGCAUAACGCGGUUCCAGUUGUAGAAGUCUGUUAUGAAUGAGAUGACAAAUUAUGAAUCAUAUUUUGUAUCAGAAUCUCAAAAAAAAACCAGGCAUAUAUGUCUCAGAUAAACUUCUA